rnacentral:tRNA from 1 species
UAGAGCAUCAGACUUUUAAUCUGAGGGUCGUGGGUUCGAGUCCUCCAGAAGGCG